UUUAUGGAGAGUUUGAUCCUGGCUCAGGACGAACGCUGGCGGCGUGCCUAAUACAUGCAAGUCGAGCGGAGCUAAGUGAAAGCUUGCUUUCACGAUGCUUAGCGGCGGACGGGUGAGUAACACGUAGGUAACCUGCCUGUAAGAC
rnacentral:rRNA from 1 species